UACGUAGGGUGCGAGCGUUAAUCGGAAUUACUGGGCGUAAAGCGUGCGCAGGCGGUUUUGUAAGCCAGAUGUGAAAGCCCCGGGCUCAACCUGGGAAUGGCAUUUGGGACUGCAAGGCUUGAGUGCGGCAGAGGAGACUGGAAUUCCUGGUGUAGCAGUGAAAUGCGUAGAUAUCUGGAGGAACACCGAUGGCGAAGGCAGCCUCCUGGGCUAGUACUGACGCUCAUGCACGAAAGCGUGGGGAGCAAACAGG
rnacentral:rRNA from 1 species